UACGGAGGGGGCUAGCGUUGUUCGGAAUUACUGGGCGUAAAGGGCUCGUAGGCGGCCAACUAAGUCGGAUGUGAAAUCCCCAAGCUUAACUUGGGAACUGCAUCCGAUACUGGAUGGCUUGAAUCCGGGAGAGGGAUGCAGAAUUCCAGGUGUAGCGGUGAAAUGCGUAGAUAUCUGGAGGAAUACCGGUGGCGAAGGCGGCAUCCUGGACCGGCAUUGACGCUGGGGAGCGAAAGCUAGGGGAGCAAACGGG
rnacentral:rRNA from 1 species